ACGGCCACUUUACGUUGAAACACUGGUUCUCAUACAAUCACUGAAGUUAAGCAAUGUCAAACCUAGUCAGUACCUAGAUGGGUGACUGCUUAGGAAUAUGAGGUGCUGUAAG